rnacentral:lncRNA from 10 species
AGCAGUUUCUGUGGGGUGAGGAUGUGUGUGGAUCCUGGAGGAGGCAGAGAAGACAGUGAGCUUGCCAGUUCUGGUUUCCAACACUUCCUUUCCUGCGCUUCUCGAUUCCCAGAUCUGCACCCACCCCCCUCCCCAACCCUGGUCUGGGUAUAGUGGAAGCAGGGAGGGGAGUCAGAAUUGGGGUUGGGGUCCCGUCGCAAUAGGCCUGGGAGAUAUUUGGGGGCUGUGGAUAAACAAAACACAUCCUCUGGCUCAGGCAGGGUCCCAGGCUGCACCAAGGAACGAGCUGCCUCACCAUCAGGGUGCAGAGCCAUCUGCAGGUGAUGGGCAGCUGCGUUUCUAAUUCACUCUUAAACUCCAGGUGAAGCCAGGGAGAGAAAUUCCAAACAUGGCAAGGCAGGGAAAGGCUGAAAAUGGGGCCAGAGUUGGUAGGGGGACCAUGUGUGGAAAGCAUGGUGCCUGGGAGAGGAAGUUGAUAGGCAAAGCCCCCUGGGAGAAUCCACUGACCUCUGGGAGCCAGCCAGUUGGUACUGCCCUGGUGGGUGGGACCUCAGGUGUGAGAGGGAAAGGGCCAGGGGACCUGAGGCCUUACCUUGCAGAGACCGCGUAUUGUAAGAGAUUAGAAAUGCUUGCAAAAAUUUAAGCUAAUGGAAUUAGAUAUACUUCUACUGCAAAAAUAAAAAUAAAAAUAAAUGAAAGUCUUUGUCAUAAGGAGAGAGAGAGAGAUCUAGUAAGUGCAGUAAAAAAAGAUGCAUGGGUCGUGUGGUUUGGACAUGGACUUAAACAGAACAGAGGUGACCGGGGUGGUGUGUGGGUGAGCAUGAGGCCUGCACGCAUGCAGCAGUGUGCUUCAAAGAAAGGUCCUGGUGGGAGACAAGAACUGAACAAAAGAGACACGUACUUGAAAAUGUGCCUCCCUGGAGACGUGGCAAAGGAAUGGGCCUUCAUGGGAGCAGGGGAGCGGAAACCACCGGAUGCUGGAUUUCCACCCCAAGGGCAGGCAAAAGAAGGCUUUGGCUGGCUCACUGGGCAUGACUCCAAUACCAGGGUCCCUAUGCCUUUGACCACUAACUACUCGCUCAGCUGACCGAAGACUGCUGGAACUGCAGCCCUUCCUGGUCACUCCAGACUAGCAGAAACUUGGAAAGCCGUCUCUGUUCUUCCAACAUCCCUUUCUCUGCAGUUCAGGCCCCAGCUGCCCACUCCCAGCUGAGUGAGGAACUUGUCCUCGGCAUGAUGCCCUGUGCACGCAGCCUGUAGGGGCCCUGCGCUGGAAAGCUGACUCAUCAUUCUGCAGACCUGAGGCCCCUUCAGCAAAUGCGAUGCAGGUUUCAGGAGUGUGUCCCUGGGCUUUUUUAUAGCACUCCUUUCCCCUGAAGUCCACUCAUUUCUGUGACCUCACCACUCCUCCUGCUAGUCCUAAAAGAGGCCAAAGGCUGCUGUACAAAUGAGGAGAAAGGACGCAUAUUACAAGGCUUGCCCCAAACUCUGAAGAGUGAACCAUUGCCAGGAUGGGGGCCCUCCAAAUUGCAACUCCAUGUAGCCCACGUGUCCAGAUGCUGAAAGACAGCCUGUCCUGCAGAGCGUGAGGAUUCGCUUGGGAGCUUCCUCGUUACAAGCAACAGCAAGGAGCGCACGUGCCAGAGAAAAUGUCCCCAAGGCCCUCCUUAGCCAUCCAAAUGACUCCAGGAAAUAAGAGGGCAGACUCAUUUUAAAGGAGGCAUCCGAAGGGGUUCCUCUGAUCAGAUGCUGAUUCCAAAGUCCUCCCUAUCUUUGCUGAUAUGUAAAUCUAGGAUUUGGGAGAGGCCAAAGAGAGGUUAGGGAAUUAAUGCACUAGAAGUCUCUGAUAUUAUUUAAUCACUGACCAUUCAUUGCUCCCAGUCUUGACUGAAGAACAAUAAUUCUAGGACUGAGUAUUGGAGACAAUCAGUGAAGCCUCGAAGACCCUCAGCAACAGGCUGUGGCCUAGGCCUUCACCUACGUGGUUUCUUUAAGGGGACCAGACUAGCUGGUGUAAAUGCUGAUCAUCAGAAAGCCAAUUCUUCAAAGUCAGUCAUCUGUGUUGUUUUAAUAAAUUGGUCAAGCUUUUCACCACCAUAAACAUUGCAAAUUAAGCUGAGUGAGUCCAUAAUCCACAUUUUGCACAGUUCUCAUUUUGAAUCCACAGAUGGCUGACCAUGUUGGUUUUCCAGAAUAAAGCAGCAAGUGGGCCCUAUUGCUCUGAGGGUCCUAUUUAGUCCCUAUAACUGGACGAUUAUGAAAUGUAAACAGUGGUCUCUAAAAACUAAGUUGAGGCCCAUCUACAUGACUGUCUACAUGUUUUCAAAGCUGUGGGCCAGACACCGCAAGCUCUGAUGGGACAAAAUCCUUCUUUCUACACGGACAGAAUCUGAAAACCAAAAGUGUUCUUGCAGGCUAGCUGGUCCAAUCAUUCUUGAGUUUGGCUGAAGCAGACCUACUGACUCAGAAUAUGCAGGGCGGCGCCAGAAAAUGUGUACAUUUAAAGAGCAGCCCAGGUGAGUAUGAUCAUUAGCCAGGUUUGGAAAACUGUGAUCCGGCCCACCCUUCUCAUCCUACACAUGGGACACGUGAAGGCCAGAGCAGUCAGGUGCUUGCUCAGGGUGGGUGGCACAGACAGGUCCAGAAGCAGUGCCUCCAGGCUCUUGAUUCUCGGGACCCUGUGGCCCCUGGGAGGGGAGGGGAUGGGCAGGUGGAUGCUUGAAUAGCAGCCAGGCAAUAGGUGGGCUCUGAAUUCAGAUUCAAAUCUGAGUCCCAAAGAAAAAUGAAACAUACCUGACCCCAAUCUGGAAUGAAGCAAAAUAAUCAAUAUAAAAACCCACCAACUCUCUCCCAAGUGGCCCCCAUGUACUGCAAAGACUUGAUCCAGUCUUCAGCUCUCUCACAUUUGCUUCUCACAGUCUCUUGGGCAUUCCCCAAAGAAGAGUACUUUUAUCAUAAACUAACCAGAGCAGAGAGGUGAAAAUCUAAUCAAAAGAUUUCAUUUUUUAGACAAUGUGGAGGGAUGACUGGUGAGGAUUUAGUGAGAGUUGUUGGUUAACCCUGACCUCGGGGGAGCCAGCGUCAGCUACAGGAGGGAGAGGAGCUGGGAAGACAGGGCAUGGCACCAUCACCCAUGCACGGUGUCUGCUGAGAACCCUCUCAUUUGCUGCAGGAAAACUCAUCCUCUCCUAAAAGAUAUGUUGGGCCAGGUGCAGUGGCUCAUGCCUGUAAUCCCAGCACUUGGUAGGCCGAGGCUGGGGGAUAACUUGAGCUCAGGAGUUCAAGACCAGCCUGGGCAACGUGGUGAAACCCAGUCUCUACCAAAAAUACAAAACAAUUAGCCAGGCAUGGUGGCGCAUGCCUGUGGUCCCAGCUACUAGGUGAGCUGAGGUGGAAGGAUCACUUGAACCCAGAAGGUCCAGGCUGAAGUGAGCUAAAAUCAUGCCACUGCACUCCAGCCUGGGUAACAGAGUGAAACCCUGACUCAAAAGAAAGAAAGAAAAAAAGACACAAAAGAUAUGCUGCCAUGAUACUGGUCUUUAGGACACUCAAGUUUUCUGACAGUCUGCACUGUCCUGUACUUUGGUCACCUGGACGAUCACAACAGAAGAGGGCAAGUCAGACCUUAAUCUGCUUUCUGACCUCACUGGUAUUAGGGCUCUGUGCCUUGCUUAACUGAAUGCUCUAAAACCCAACACCACUCAGCAAAUGAUUUCAGAAGCCAGGAAUAUACGGAGUCUGUUUACGUUCUCUUUGUUUUGAUGGCAGCUGAGACCUCUGCUGAGCAAAUAUAACGCAAAGGAAAAUACUCUGCAAAGGAGAAGCUUGUUCUGAAGCAGGGAAGCUCAGAACUCAUCCUAGCAGGAGCCUUUGCAGUUUGAGUCUGUGCUCUUUCAGAUCCUGCAAGUGGUCUGCUAUUGCUGCAGACUCGACUGAACAUUUGUCUUUCUAGAAGUCUUAAAAUACAUACUGCAGCAAAUCCAUCCACCUACCUGCAGUCUGCACACAGAACCAGAUGUCUCUGAUUUACAACCUAUCAGUGCUUCUAAGGAAUGAUUUUUUUUAAAACAAUGGCUUUUAUUCACCACCUACUGGCCUUGCUUUCUAGGGAGGGCCAGCCCAGGCAGGAUGGGAGCUAUAGCCUAGGGCUAUAACCAGGUCCACUUUCUGGGUUCCCAACUACUUUCAGUUCCUUAGCACACUGCUGCCCUGACAUUCAUAUCAAGGAAGGGAGAGAGGAGGAGAUAAACAGCGUAGCCUCCUGUUCCUACCUUAGGAGGAAGCCCCAUUUUCCUUACAUACACAAGCAGCUUCUGAUGUCACCUAGCCAAGGUUCUGAAGGGCCAUUCCCCUGAGGAUCACCAGAGAGUGAGAGAGUGAGCAGGACUGCAUGGUUUGAGGCACAAAUCGUAAUCACUGAAUAUACAGAAUGUCAGAGGUCCUGCGUGCCUGGGGGCACACGAUCCACCCUCCCUGUGCUCCUAUGCUAUGGCCAGAGAGCGAGGGUAUCUUCCCACAGCCACACAGGUGCCCAUGGAGUAGCUGGAGUAGAGGCCAGUCCUCCUGGCUCUGAGUCCAGGUCUCUCUCCAAUGCUCACAGGGGACUCAUGCUCUGUGACUCACUGGGCCACAUCUCAGCUCAGGUGAAGGGGCUUUUCCAGGGUCCAUUGUCAAUGAUAUACACAAAGUCAGGUACACAAAAUAUGGCCUCAUGAAAGAAUAUGUAACAAGCUAAGGAGUCACUGAUGUGAUGAUGGAAGGCUGCCAUUUAAACACAUAGAAGGUUCUAUCGUAUCUGAAGGAUGGAAAGAGAGAGGAGGGAAUGAGGACAGUUUUGAAGAUCAAAAUUUGGAUAGUCGGCUGGGCGCGGUGGCUCACGCCUAUAAUCCCA